rnacentral:rRNA from 1 species
CAGACUUUGAUCAUGGCUCAGGACGAACGCUGGCGGCGUGCUUAACACAUGCAAGUCGUACGAGACGAUUGAAAGCUUGCUUUUGAAAGUCGAGUGGCAAACGGGUGAGUAACGCGUAGACAACCUGCCGUAAAGAUGGGGACAACAGUCCGAAAGGACUGCUAAUACCGAAUGUUGUGGAACUUCCGCAUGGGAGCUCUACUAAAGAUGGCCUCUACUUGUAAGCUAUCGCUUUACGAUGGGUCUGCGUCUGAUUAGCUAGUUGGUGGGGUAACGGCCUACCAAGGCGACGAUCAGUAGCCGGUCUGAGAGGAUGAACGGCCACAUUGGAACUGAGACACGGUCCAGACUCCUACGGGAGGCAGCAGUGGGGAAUCUUCCGCAAUGGGCGCAAGCCUGACGGAGCAACGCCGCGUGAGUGAAGAAGGGUUUUGACUCGUAGAGCUCUGUUGUCGGGGACGAACGUGGAGGUUGUGAAUAACAGCUUCCAAUGACGGUACCUGACGAGGAAGCCACGGCUAACUACGUGCCAGCAGCCGCGGUAAUACGUAGGUGGCGAGCGUUGUCCGGAAUUAUUGGGCGUAAAGGGAGCGCAGGCGGGAGAUCAAGUCUAUCUUAAAAGUGCGGGGCUCAACCCCGUGAGGGGAUGGAAACUGGUCUUCUUGAGUGCAGGAGAGGAAAGCGGAAUUCCUAGUGUAGCGGUGAAAUGCGUAGAUAUUAGGAGGAACACCAGUGGCGAAGGCGGCUUUCUGGACUGUAACUGACGCUGAGGCUCGAAAGCGUGGGGAGCGAACAGGAUUAGAUACCCUGGUAGUCCACGCCGUAAACGAUGAAUGCUAGGUGUAGGAGGUAUCGACCCCUCCUGUGCCGGAGUUAACGCAAUAAGCAUUCCGCCUGGGGAGUACGGCCGCAAGGCUGCAACUCAAAUGAAUUGACGGA